CAAGCCUGGGCAAUGUAGUGAGACCCCUGUCUUUACAAAAAAUUUAAAAAUUAGCCAGGCAUGGUGUCAUGCACCCUGUGUAGUCUCAGCUACUGGGGAGGCUGAGGCAGGAGGAUCGCUUGAGCCCAGGAGUUGGAGGCUGCAGUGAGCUAUGAUUGCACCACUGCACUUCGGCCUGAGCAACAGAGCGAGACCCUGUCUCUAAAACGAACAAAGGGAGAGAAUUAAGUGAUUUCAUACAUCUAAAGCACUUGGGUCAGUUAGUAAGCAUUGACUAUUAGUAUUUCUAUUAUCAUUAUUGUAUUCAUUUUCUCUCUCCACUAAUUUUCAGCUAGCCUCUAUUCUUGUCUCUUAUGGGGCAGAGAUGGUCUCAGCCCUGCCCCAGACCAGCCCAAUGAGAGAGAGCAGCCUAUUUUUCCUAGUGUCUACAGCGGACACCCUAGGGUUGGCUCUGAUUGGGCCAACUUGAGAGCGUGCUUGCCCCUGAACCAGUCACUGUGGUUGAUCGGAUAGACCUGGGCCACCCACUCACCCCUGAACCAAUUGCUGUGCCCCUAGGUUGAUGCUCCCAGGAGGCGUGCUAUCUGAUAAUGAAUCCCUGUGAUUUAAAUCUCAGGGCCUAGGUGUGUUCUCCACCCAGAACCAAGCACAGUGGCUGUCUGUCUGGGCCUGGAGCACGUGCCCACCCUCAACCCAUCCCUGAGUCACAGGAGGGCUCUGUGUCAGUGUCCAGCUGUGCUCCAGGAGGUUGGGUCCGCCCAUGCACACUACAAGGCCUGGGAGUGGGGAGGCGUGGCCCGCAGAGGGAGGGAGGAGUGGAGGCAGUCAUCAUCCUCGGCUCUCCUCUGUCUCCAGCGGACUUGGCUGCCCUGCUUCCCGACCUCUCCGGCCGCCUCCUCAUCAACUCUGUCUUCCAUGUGGGCGCCGAGCGGCUCCAGCAGAUGCUCUUCUCGGACUCGCCCUUCCUCCAGGGCUUCCUACAGCAGUGCAAGUUCACAGACGUGACCCUGAGCCCCUGGAGUGGGGACAGCAAGUGCCACCAGCGCCGGGUGCUGACGUACACCAUCCCCAUCAGCAACCCACUGGGCCCCAAGAGCGCCUCUGUGGUGGAGACACAGACGCUGUUCCGGCGCGGCCCCCAGGCCGGCGGGUGUGUGGUGGACUCCGAGGUGCUGACGCAGGGCAUCCCCUACCAGGACUACUUCUACACUGCCCACCGCUACUGCAUCCUGGGUCUGGCCCGGAACAAGGCGCGGCUCCGAGUGUCCUCUGAGAUCCGCUACCGAAAGCAGCCGUGGAGCCUGGUGAAGUCGCUCAUUGAGAAGAACUCGUGGAGCGGCAUUGAAGACUAUUUCCACCAUCUGGAGCGAGAGCUCGCCAAGGCUGAGAAGCUGUCUCUGGAGGAAGGCGGGAAGGAUGCCCGGGGCUUGCUAUCCGGCCUGCGGCGGCGGAAGCGGCCCCUGAGCUGGCGGGCUCACGGGGACGGGCCCCAGCACCCAGAUCCUGACCCCUGUGCCCGGGCUGGCAUGCACACCUCGGGCUCCCUCAGCUCCCGCUUCUCCGAACCGUCUGUGGACCAGGGCCCCGGGGCAGGCAUCCCCAGUGCCCUGGUUCUCAUCAGCAUUGUCCUUAUCAUCCUCAUCGCCCUCAACGUCCUGCUCUUCUACCGCCUCUGGUCCCUGGAAAGGACAGCCCACACCUUUGAGUCCUGGCACAGCCUGGCCCUGGCCAAGGGCAAGUUCCCCCAGACGGCCACAGAGUGGGCCGAGAUCCUGGCGCUGCAGAAGCAAUUCCACAGCGUGGAGGUGCACAAGUGGAGGCAGAUCCUGCGGGCCUCCGUGGAGCUCCUGGAUGAGAUGAAGUUCUCGCUGGAGAAGCUGCACCAAGGCAUCACAGUCUCAGACCCUCCCUUUGACACCCAGCCCCGGCCCGAUGACAGCUUUUCCUGAGGACCCCGGCCACGCAGCUGUUCCCCCACAUGGACAGAUGGACACACAGAGCCUCGGCGGCCACUGCUGGCACGGUGUGAGCGCCAGGCAUCUCCCACCCGCCCCUCCCGACGGCCCAACCAGGGGCUGUGCAGACGUGGGGACCACGGAACCGAGAUGCACUUUAGCCCAGGGAGCUGGCCUGGCCUCUGGCAGGCCCCCCACUAACUUAUUUUGCCCGGCUGAGGUUGUGGGGGGCGCCUCCUGGGGUGCACGAUUCCCUCAGCUCUGGGUUUAAUGUAUUAUAUUUAUUUGGGGCCGACAGUGCCCCAAUAAAGGGUCAGAAGUG
rnacentral:sRNA from 1 species